GUGCGAGCGAAAUCAGGCAAACGUUUUGGUGAACAAGUCUUGGACCCAUGAGGACACUGGUCCAGAGCGCUGGCCUAGGUUCCACCCCGAGUGUCACCACAGCCUCAGCCGUCAAUUUAAGUAUCGGCUGCAACAACGCUUGGAAACUGUAAGGUGUUGUCCGAGCCGGCGAUGAUCCUCUUAACCCAGACAGAGGCUGGAAGUCCAAGGUGAAGGUGCUGCUGGUUUGGUUCCUGCUGAGAGCUCCCUUCCUGGCUUGCAGACAGUCUCCUCGUAUGUCCUCACAUGGCAGAGAGUGUGAACCUAUAUCCUGAAAAACACAUGAGGAUUGCUGAGAAGGGAACGCUGCAACACAGCCACCAGAAGAUGCCGAGCUGCUGCUGACUUGAGAGAAGCUGGAAGGACCUUAUUUAAUGGAACCCGUACUGAUGUCCACUGUGCAUCUGGGUGCCGGGUAUACGAGGCUGAGAAGCCAGAAGGAGCACGGAAGCGGAAUGGUUUGGGCAGGAGCAGGCCAGCAGCUUCCUUUACAGAAUAGAAGAGUGACAUGCAUAGCGUGGAACCUUGGGAUGUUGCCUGUGGAUCUUCCUGAGAUGAAAAAGUAGAUUUGCAGUUAACACAGAAAACAGAAGGAAGAAAGAGGAAAAUGACGUGGUAUAUCCUAGCUACCACGGAGGAGAGAUUAGCUGUGAACAGGGGAAGCCGAUUUUGUAUCCUGCAUUUAUGGCUCGGGAAACUCUGUUCAUUCUGCCGUGAGGUUCAGCGUUUCUACCUCUUUGGUUGUCUUUGUGAUACACACUCGGUGAAAAGAACCUCAGGUAUUGCUCGUGACAUGGAUUCCACUGAUGUUCUCAGGACUGAGGUUUUUUGAGGCUGUGCCACCCACUCCUGGUGUACAGGCUGCACCCUCAUAAUUUGGAUUUCCCAGAAUUAGGCUCAUUUACAUAUUCAUGCCCAACCAUAUGCCCCCAGUUCUUUAUUCAAGGCAUAUGGCUGCCUUAGAAUGGCACCCCAGGUUCUCACCCCAGGCACUGCCCUCUUCUCUGACUGCACCAGCCUCUGUCUGUACCUCUAAGCCCUUGCAUUUCUGGAUGAAAAGUGAUCCCUUCCCCCAGCUGCUUGUUAAUUGCUCACUCCUCCUUUCAGACUCCAUGUCACCCUUCUGAACUUGUUUCUUAUCUGCAAAACUAGACUGAGUAUCAUCUGUCUUAGUCUGGGCUGUCCUAACAAAAUACUUGGGGGCUUAAACAAUAGAAAUUUAUAUUUUCACAGGUCUGGAGGCUGGAAAGUCCAAGAUCAAGGUUCUGGAUGAUUGGGUUUCUGGUGAGGGCCCUUUUCCUGGCUUGCAGACAGCCACUUCUCUUUCUGUCUUCACCUAGAUUUUCUUCUGUGCUCACUCAAGGAGACAGAGGAGGAGGAGGGAGAGACAGAGAGAGACAAGGAGAGAGAGAAUGAAUAGUGCUUCUCUUGGGUGUCUCUUUUCAUAAGGAUGCUAAUCCUAUUGGAUCGUGGAACCACUUUUUUUUGUUGUUGAAGUAUAGUCAGUUACAAUGCGUCAAUUUCUGGGAUACAGCAUAAUUUCCCAAUCGUGUGUGUGUGUGUGUAUAUAUAUAUCUAUAUAUAUAUUCGUUUUCAUAUU